UUAAAAAAGAGUUUGAUCCUAGCUCAGGAUGAAUGCUGGCGGCGUGGAUAAGGCAUGCAAGUCGAACGAACUAGGCCUUGGAAGUAGAAAAGUAAGUAGCAAUACAAGCGAUUCUAUGGAAAAGAUUUCUGGUUAGUGGCAGACGAGGUAGUAACACGUAGGAAUGUACCCCAAAGUCGAGCAUAGCUACGCGAAAGCGUAGGUAAUUCUCGAUGGUCUCGCAAGAGUAAAGUUUUAACGCUUUGGGAACAGCCUGCGGAAUAUCAGCUUGUUGGUGAGGUAAUAGCUCACCAAGGCAAUGACGUUUAGGGGAGGUGAGAGCCUGACCCCCACCGAUGGGACUGAGACACGGCCCAUACACCUACGGGUGGCUGCAGUCGAGAAUCUUCCGCAAUGGACGCAAGUCUGACGGAGCGACGCCGCGUGAUUGAUGAAGCCCUUUGGGGUGUAAAGAUCUUUUAUAAGGGAAGAAGUUUAUUGACGGUACCUUAUGAAUAAGGGGCUCCCAAUCUCGUGCCAGCAGGAGCGGUAAUACGAGAGCCCCAAGCAUUAUCCGGAAUUAUUGGGCGUAAAGGGUGCGUAGGUGGCAUUAUUAGUCUUUUGUGAAAUAUCUUCGCUCAACGAAGAAAACGCGAGAGAAACGGUAAUGCUAGAGAGCGUGAGAAGUGUGCAGAACUCUAGGUGUAGGGGUGAAAUCCGUUGAUAUCUAGGGGAAUACCAAAAGCGAAAGCAGCACACUAGCGCGUUUCUGACGCUCAAGCACGAAAGCGUGGGUAGCGAAUGGGAUUAGAUACCCCAGUAGUCCACGCCCUAAACGAUCCUAUCUCGCUUUUCGGAGUAUCGACCCUCUGAGAGGCUAAGUUAACACGGUAAGAUAGGCGCCUGGGAAGUACGGCCGCAAGGCUAAAACUCAAAGGAAUAGACGGGGACUCGCACAAGCGGUGGAUUAUGUGGUUUAAUUCGAUGGUAAACGAAGAACCUCACCAAGAUUUGAAACUUAACUGAAAGCUACUGGAAACAGAAGCCCUCGCAAGACUGUUAAGCAGGUGCUGCAUGGCCGUCGUCAGUUCGUGGCUUGAGCUGUUCCCUUAAGUGGGGAAACGAACGCAACCCUCGUCGUGUGUUAUAUUUGUCACACGAGACCGCCUAGCCCAAAGUUUAUAUCCUGGGUUUUCUAUGAAGCAACGAAAGUAUUUAUACUUAAGUUGCUUCAUAGAGAAUCUAGAUGAUGUAAUUUUCGGGCUGGGAGGAAGGAGAGGAUGACGCCAGGUCCGCAUGGCCCUUUGAUAUCUUGGGCUACACACAUAAUACAAUCGCCACUACAACGGGUCGCGACGGGGUAACCCUGAGCCAAUCCUUAGAAAAGUGGCGCCAGUUCGGAUUGAGGGCUGCAACUCGCCCUCAUGAAGCCGGAAUCGCUAGUAAUCGCAGGUCAGCUAAACUGCGGUGAAUACGUUCUCGAGUCUUGUACUCACCGCCCGUCAACUCAAGGGAGCCGGGAAUACCCGAAAUCUCUCCAUUGGAGGGCCUACGGUAAGUUCGGUGACAGGGAGUAAGUCGUAACAAGGCACGGCUAGCGGAAGCUGGUCGUGGAAUACUUCAUUU
rnacentral:rRNA from 1 species